GAAGCGGCAAUAGCUCAAAUUUGAAAUCUGACCCUUUGGGGUCCGAGUUGUAAUUUGCAGAGGGUGUUUCGGGCGCGGUACCGGUUUAAGUCCUUUGGAACAGGGUGUCAUAGAGGGUGAGAACCCCGUAUGCGACCGGCCGCCAAACCUAUGUGAAACCCCUUCGACGAGUCGAGUUGUUUGGGAAUGCAGCUCAAAAUGGGUGGUAAAUUUCAUCUAAAGCUAAAUACUGGCCAGAGACCGAUAGCGCACAAGUAGAGUGAUCGAAAGAUGAAAAGCACUUUGGAAAGAGAGUCAAACAGCACGUGAAAUUGUUGAAAGGGAAGCGCUUGCGACCAGACCUGCUCGUGGGUGAUCAGCGGUGCUUUUCGCGCCGUGCACUCGUCCGCGAUCAGGCCAGCAUCGGUUCAGGCGGCCGGACAAAGACUCGGAGAAUGUAGCUUCCUUCGGGGAGUAUUAUAGCUCCUUGUGUAAUACGGCCAGCCGGGACCGAGGACCGCGCUUCGGCUAGGAUGCUGGCGUAAUGGU
rnacentral:rRNA from 1 species